rnacentral:rRNA from 1 species
AGUGAACGCUGGCGGUAGGCCUAACACAUGCAAGUCGAACGGCAGCACAGUAAGAGCUUGCUCUUACGGGUGGCGAGUGGCGGACGGGUGAGGAAUACAUCGGAAUCUACUUUUUCGUGGGGGAUAACGUAGGGAAACUUACGCUAAUACCGCAUACGACCUACGGGUGAAAGCAGGGGAUCUUCGGACCUUGCGCGAUUGAAAGAGCCGAUGUCGGAUUAGCUAGUUGGCGGGGUAAAGGCCCACCAAGGCGACGAUCCGUAGCUGGUCUGAGGGGAUGAUCAGCCAAACUGGAACUGAGACACGGUCCAGACUCCUACGGGAGGCAGCAGUGGGGAAUAUUGGACAAUGGGCGCAAGCCUGAUCCAGCCAUACCGCGUGGGUGAAGAAGGCCUUCGGGUUGUAAAGCCCUUUUGUUGGGAAAGAAAAGCAGCAGGUUAAUACCCCGCUGUUCUGACGGUACCCAAAGAAUAAGCACCGGCUAACUUCGUG